rnacentral:rRNA from 1 species
UACGAAGGGGGCUAGCGUUGCUCGGAAUCACUGGGCGUAAAGGGCGCGUAGGCGGCCAUUUAAGUCGGGGGUGAAAGCCUGUGGCUCAACCACAGAAUUGCCCUCGAUACUGGAUGGCUUGAGACCGGAAGAGGUAAGUGGAACUGCGAGUGUAGAGGUGAAAUUCGUAGAUAUUCGCAAGAACACCAGUGGCGAAGGCGGCUUACUGGUCCGGAUCUGACGCUGAGGCGCGAAAGCGUGGGGAGCAAACAGG